rnacentral:rRNA from 1 species
GACGAACGCUGGCGGCGUGCUUAACACAUGCAAGUCGAACGGAAAGGCCCUGCUUUUGUGGGGUGCUCGAGUGGCGAACGGGUGAGUAACACGUGAGUAACCUGCCCUUGACUUUGGGAUAACUUCAGGAAACUGGGGCUAAUACCGGAUAGGAGCUCCUGCUGCAUGGUGGGGGUUGGAAAGUUUCGGCGGUUGGGGAUGGACUCGCGGCUUAUCAGCUUGUUGGUGGGGUAGUGGCUUACCAAGGCUUUGACGGGUAGCCGGCCUGAGAGGGUGACCGGCCACAUUGGGACUGAGAUGCGGCCCAGACUCCUACGGGAGGCAGCAGUGGGGAAUAUUGCACAGUGGGCGGAAGCCUGAUGCAGCAACGCCGCGUGCGGGAUGACGGCCUUCGGGUUGUAAACCGCUUUCGCCUGUGACGAAGCGUGAGUGACGGUAAUGGGUAAAGAAGCACCGGCUAACUACGU